UAACGACUCUUGGCAACGGAUAUCUCGGCUCUCGCAUCGAUGAAGAACGCAGCGAAAUGCGAUACCUGGUGUGAAUUGCAGAAUCCCGUGAAUCAUCGAGUCUUUGAACGCAAGUUGCGCCCGAGGCCAUUUGGUCUAGGGCACGCCUGCCUGGGUGUCACAC
rnacentral:rRNA from 1 species